AUUGAACGCUGGCGGCAGGCCUAACACAUGCAAGUCGAGCGGAGCGGCGGACGGGUGAGGAAUGCUUAGGCAUCUGCCUGGUAGUGGGGGAUAACGUCCGGCAACGGGCGCUAAUACCGCAUACUAUCAGAUGAGCCUAGGUCGGAUUCGCUAGUGGGGGGGGUAAAGGCCUACCCAGGCGACGAUCCGUAACUGGUCUGAGAGGAUGAUCAGUCACACUGGAACGGAGAACCGGCCCAGCUUCCUACGGGAGGCAGAAGUGGGGAAGAUUGGACAAUGGGCGAAAGCCUGAUCAAGACAGGCCGCGUGUGUGAAGAAGGUCUUCGGAUUGUAAAGCACUUUAAGUUGGGAGGCGUUACCAACAGAAUAAGCACCGGCUAACUUCGUGCCAGCAGCCGCGGUAAUAC
rnacentral:rRNA from 1 species